AACGACUCUCGGCAACGGAUAUCUCGGCUCUCGCAUCGAUGAAGAACGUAGCGAAAUGCGAUACUUGGUGUGAAUUGCAGAAUCCCGUGAACCAUCGAGUCUUUGAACGCAAGUUGCGCCCCAAGCUUUCAGGCUGAGGGCACGUCUGCCUGGGUGUCACA
rnacentral:rRNA from 1 species